AGGGGCCAGGACCGAGUGCCUCUUGGUGCCGGGAGACGUGCUGUGUCAGCUUCCUGUAGUCCUGAAGGGAAUACAUUGCCCUCAAUGAGGCGAAACGGUUCUUCUCCCCAACCCCCCUGCGGGCGCUCCGCCACCUGCAGAAGCGUGUGCAUCCCCCCGUCCGGGCUCCUUCCCCCGCUCGGAGAUCAUUCCGCUCCCGCCCCACUCACUGAAAGUCCGGAGCCUGCUUGUGCAGACUGGACGACUCUUGGAUACCUUACUUUGAAACAUUCUUGUCAGUUUUUCCUCUUGUUGCCAUUUUCGACAUAAUUUCAGUCCUGUUAACCAUUCUUAGCUUGUUCUGCUGCAGUACCUUCUCCGCUGGUCAUUCUCAGACGCUUAAAACACAGCGCCUUCCAUUAAUUUAUUUUUCCUGGGCAUCAUUUACUCCCACUUACUUGGUAAUCGGUAACUUCCCCAUCACGCUUACUUUGUAUUUACAAUAACUUUUGGCAGUAUUUGGAGGGGCCCCUGAUGUUCCUGACAGUUUCUGAUGUCAGAAAAAAUAGUUCUUUUAAUCUUUUUGUAUGUGACUAUUAACUCAUAAUUAUCGAUAAGAUUUCGAUUACUGUGUUACAGGGUUCCAUCGUUGAUGUUCAGGGAUGGUUGUUUGAGAUUACAUAUUUAAGUUCUUGGCAGUGAACCUUGGGAAUUACCUGUCUUCUACAAACACUAAAUUGUCUGAGGUAUUGGGUACAAUAUACUGAGAAAAGCCGAGGAAGAGGAGAAGUGUAUCUUACAUGAUUUGAAUUUGCUUCAAUAAAACUUAAAUAACCAAGAUAUUUUAUUUUCCUUUUUCUCAAUUACUGUCAACUAAGUGAUCUAUGAGAGCUAAUGAGCAUCAGUGAUCAGAGGAACUUAAUAAGCGAUAAUACUGAUUUGUCCUCAUUUGGGUUUUUUAAAGGUCUGACACAGUGCUAAUUUCUAUAGACCUGUAACUUUGUAAACUACAGUAUAAUCCCUAUGUUACAUCUAAUUAUAUCAAGAAUAUAAUUUUAUUUCUCACCUCUUCUUCAAACAGUGGCCAAGAGAGAUUACAGUACAUUACCAGUCCAGAAAUGUCAAUGAAACUAUUUUGUAUGUGCUUCUUAAAAAAAUCGAUCUGAUUUCAUAAAAAUUCAGUUUGGAUUUAACUACAAGAAAUAUUUACUGGAACACUUUUUGAUUUUUAAAGUAGUAUUUAGUAUAGAUGUGGUCACACUGUGGUGUAAAUUUCUGAAGUUAAUACUUUGAUAAUAACUGUGAUCAUACUUUAAAAGCUAUCCGUAAAUAUUUCCUCAAGUCCUGGGUCUUGACUUCUAAAACUGAAAGUAUGGACUUUGCUAUUUUAUUUGAAUUUGACCUCACCUCUUUCUGUUUUUCAUUUCUUUUUUUACUGUUCUUUCUCAUUUACAUAGGUAGUUUUUGUCUUAUCAGAGACAGGUUGAGUAACUCUCCUUGAGGAGGCUCUCAAACUUUCAGUUAUUAUCAUUAUUUUGGAACUCCCAUAUAUUUAUAAGUUGUAGUCAGUAAUUCAACAGACAUUUUUUGAGUGCUAGUGAUCUUAGCCAUUUGCAAUAGCAGGAGUCUUGAAUUCAGCCUUAAAAAUAACUACAACAAGCCUGUUGUCCUUAUGCAGUAACUAAUUGGAGUAAAUUAAAAUUUGUAACCCCAACAGGAUUGGUUAUCUGAUUUUUUUUUAGUUCGUCUAUAAGAAUCCACAGGGCUGACCAUUAGAGUAGGCACACUGAUGGUUGAAUUGUCAUUUUUUCAAGGGAAAGGGAAGAAAAGCUAUUAAAAAUCAGAUGGAACUAUGGAAGAAUAGUUUUUUAAGGCCAGUAUAUAAAGACAUAGACCUAUAAUCAUUGACUUAUAAAGGAAUCAGAAUGUUUUAGAGCAGUGUAGUACAUGGUGUGUCAUAGUAAUAACCUCAGUCAUAAAUGAACUUUAUUACUGUGUUUAAGAAAGUAUGAAAUUGUUGUCUUUUUAAAAGAUUGUUACAUUUUCAAAAGCUUUGUUAAUGCAUUUACGUUUUCUAGAAAAUUCACGUAACUCAUCUGAUAUAAAUAAAAAUCCUGUUGUUAUGUAUGGAAUUUCCUUUGUUUUACUUUACUGCUUUUAUCUACUUCCUUAUUUAAUAUUUUAAAGGAUUACCUACCAAUAAAUGCUCUUAUUAUAUUUAAUGUUGUACGUUAGUAGUAAAAAACCAGUUAUCUAAAGACCAGCACCUUUGUUGAUAAAGGAAUUUACAAAGAGAUAAUUAGCAUUAGUAGAUGACCUGUCUGUAUGAUUUCUACAGUUUUGAACCUUGAUACUGAAUCUCUACCCUUACCACAGCUGAGUAUCCUGAAGUGAGAAAUGUUUCACUUUGUAAUGUUUUUUCUUUGUUGCAUUGCUUGCCACCUUCUCUUUUAAUAUGUUUUUUCAAUUUAUGCUCCUUUCAGUGGUAGAGUGAUGGCAGAUAGUAUUUGGCUUAGGGAUAAAGUGCGUGUAUGUGUGUGUUUUAAUGAUUUUAAUGGCUAGCUUGAGAAUUUUAAUUCUUGGGAAAUAAUAUAGCCAUAUUAAUACUUAGUUAAUAUUUCUUCCAUUACUUUAAUAUUUAUCUUUUAUGUACUUGCAGAUAAAACAUGUAUUUUAUUUCGUGUCCUUCGUUUUAACCUAAUGUUAGGUUACAUAUUCCCAUUCCCACAAUGAAUCUUCAUAACCAUCACUAUAAAUAGUAGUAUGAUGUUCCAUCUUUAGAAGAUGUAGCAGUCCCCAUUCUAAUUUUUUUUUUGGUGUGUGUGUGUGUGUAUAAAACAGUAUGAAGAGCAUCUAUACACAAGAUGCUUCUGUAUAUAGUAUUUUAUUCUAGUAUAUUAUCAGAAAUGAUUUUAGGUACAUUUUCAAAAGCCUUUAGAAAACAUUGUCAGAGUAUUUAUCAAAGGAACCAGUGGUUAUUCAUUUUGGAGUGGCUGUUCUGUACCUCAGCAUUAAGUAUUACUUACAGAAACUCAGUAGGGUGUAUGUCAUGUCACUUAAGAUUACUAUCGAGGUGAAACAUUAUGCUUAAUAGAUGUAUUUGUUAAUUAAGAUAGCUUUUUAAAAAUUACUGUAAUAAAAUAUUUUAACCUAAUUUUGUUCUCCUAAACUUCUGAAAUUCCUCCUCCAGAAAUGUAAUAAAUAAUAUUGGUUUAAUACUGUUUCAGUUUUUCUAAGUUAUAUUUAAAUAAACUUUUACCUCAUCUGGCAUUGGUGUGUGGUGAAGUGAGAAUCUGUUUUCCUCCAUAUUGUAAUUGUUUCAACUCUAUUUGUUAAAUAAUCCUUUAUUUUCCAACUGUUUUGUUAUGCUUCAUUUUGACAUUUUAAAUUGUUUAUUUUUAUCCCCAAUUUAAAAAAAACUAGUAUUGUUUUUUUAGAUACUUCUUAUAACAUGUUGAAUAUCUUUUGUCUGGUUUCUUUUUAUUGUGUGUGUUUUCUUAUUGAUUUUAAAGGAAAACUUUAUAAGUUGAGGGUAAUAAAGCUCAUUCUGUACAAAAACAAUGCUUUAUAAUUCCUUUCUUGUCAGUCAAAAUUUGAAAUACUCUUUUCCCUUACCCCAGAAUUUAGUAGGAUUAAAUGAAGCAAUUUCUUCUUUCUUGAAUGGAUAGAAUAAUGAAACUACUUAAAUAAGAGUACAGUCCUGGGGCUAUGAAGAGAAAAACUGGUAGAUUGCGUGAAAUCAGAGAAAUAAACUUCGAAGAUCAGCAGUUUAGGAUGUGUGCUUAAGGUGUUUUCAUUAUUAAAUGAUAAUAUACAACUUGACAUGAUUGAUAUGCCUCUCGUAUAUUUAAUGAAAAAGUGCUACAUGGCAGUUGUAGGACUCAAGUUACAAUUACAGUGUUUCUCUUCUUUAGCUGUUAGGAAAGGCAUGGCAAGGUGGUGCAUUUUCUGAAAUUUAAUAAUGAAUAAUCAAACUCCAGAUGAGCAUUAGUAAGGGCAUUCAUGCCAAGAACAUUUUUAAUAUUGAAAGUUCCUACUGUUCAUUAAAGUGUGUUUUUUUCUUUAAGAAAUAAUUAUUGAAGAUCUUGCAGUAUCUUUUUCUAAAAAUGAGGUAUUUAUACUUAUAUUUGAGAACUGGUGGCCUUAAAGUUAAUAUUUUAUUACAUAAUGACUAAUACCCUUGUUUACAGAUUGGUAUGAUUACAUUAAUGCUAGGACAAAAAACCAGAUUAACUGUGUGUGAAGCCAUAAUAAAUAUUUGGAAACACAUGUGUCCUGGGCUUGGGGAUCACAUAAAGAGAAUUACAGGUGAAGAAUUCAGUUUGAUUAAAUUUCUUUCUGCCUUGGAUUAGGAUUAGAGUAAAAGGGAUUAGAACAUAAUUUAUGCCUUUUAUUUGUAUUAGAAUUCUGCUACCCCUUAAAGGAUGAGUUGAUUUAGCAAAAUGGCACUUAAGUGGUCCAGGAAAUAGCAGUUGUUAAUUGUAUUCUUCACGUAUUUGCCCUCCUUACUACUAGUAUUUUUUAAUUGGUCAGAAGUUUAAAGAAAACAGGUCAUACAGUUUGUAUAUGCUUCUCCAUAAGAAAGCUGAUAUAUGUGUUUCAUAAAUAAAGCAAAAUAAUUAU